rnacentral:rRNA from 1 species
AUUGAACGCUGGCGGCAGGCCUAACACAUGCAAGUCGAGCGAGCGGCGGACGGGUGAGUAAUGUAUGGGGCCUGCCCGAUCGAGGGGGAUAACUACUGGAAACGGUGGCUAAUACCGCAUACUAUCGGAUCACCCAUAUGGGAUUAGCUAGUAGGUGAGGUAAAGGCUCACCUAGGCCACGAUCUCUAGCUGGUCUGAGAGGAUGAUCAGCAACACUGGGACAGAGAAACGGCCCAGACUGCGACGGAGGAAGAAGUGGGGAAUAUUGCACAAUGGGCGCAAGACUGAUGCAGCCAUGCCGCGUGAAUGAAGAAGGCAUUCGGGUUGUAAAGUUCUUUCGGUAGCGAGGCGUUAACUACAGAAGAAGCACCGGCUAACUCCGUGCCAGGCGACGCGGUAAUUC